ACACGUACCAGGCAGGAAAGAUACUAUAAUCAUAAAGGUGGUUUUCCGAGGGCAAGGGGGUACAGGCCCCUGUGGUUUCCCCAAAUGUGGGAAACACUACUCUAUAAUCUCUGGUAGUGGGGACUGCAUUUGCACUUUCCUG
rnacentral:snRNA from 1 species